AAGGAGCUUUUCUUUCCGUCAGGUAGAGAAAUAGAGAGACAGCGGCGGAGCUCCACAGCUGAGCUCUGUGUUUCUGUCAGCAUGGCUUCGUAUCUGCUGGUCCUGCUGCUGUUGUGUAUUCUCGGUCAGUCGUUUGGACAGAGUCAGCUAAAGCUGGUCACAGUGCUGUAUCGCCAUGGAGACCGCUCUCCAGUCAAAGCCUUUCCAACCGACCCGCACCAGGAGAGUGCGUGGCCACAGGGAUUUGGGCAGCUUACACAGGAAGGUAUGCGGCAGCACCUUGAGCUGGGCCAGUUUCUGAGAAGGCGCUACCAGGGAUUCCUGAGCGAGCCGUACACCCGUUAUGAGAUUGCUGUACGGAGCACAGACUAUGAUCGGACGCUGAUGAGUGCUGAGUCGAACCUGGCCGGUCUCUACCCACCCAAUGGAUCGCAAGUGUUUCAUCCUGGCUUGAACUGGCAGCCCAUACCUAUCCACACAGUCCCACAGGAUCAGGAGAGGUUACUCUCAUUUCCCCUGUCAAACUGUGCAUACUACCAACGCCUUAUGAACGAGACAGAGAAAACAGAGCUCUUCAUUAACAUGACCAAGACCUACGCCGAUUUCUUGGAAAUGGUGCGGAAUAAAACGGGUGUGGAGUCAACCACCAUUGCGUCAAUAUGGAGCAUCCAUGACACGCUGUUCUGUGAGGAGAAGCAUGGCAUGACUCUUCCAGAUUGGGUGACUCCAGAUGUAAUGAGCACUCUGCAGUUCCUGAAGAACUUCGGCUUUCAGAUCAUGUUUGGUGUCCAUAAACGAGUGGAGAAAAGCCGGUUGCAGGGAGGUCUGUUGCUAGAUCAGAUUAUUAAGAAUUUUACAACUGUUUCAUCUCUAAAGCCCAAUGGACAGCUCAAGAUGAUCAUGUAUUCGGCACACGACACAACCAUUGUAGCUCUUCACGAAGCGCUUAACGUAUUCAAUGGCUUGCAGCCGCCAUACGCUUCCUGCCACAUAAUGGAACUGCAUCAGGACAGCAAUGGGUCAUUUUCAGUUGAGAUAUUCUAUCGUAAUGACAGCAGUGUGGCUGAGCCAUACCCGCUAACUAUACCAGGCUGUGCUCAUCACUGCUCUCUGGAGGAAUUCAUCAAGCUUACACAAUCGGUCAUUCCAACAGACUGGGAUAAAGAGUGCAUGAUGAACACAGGUUCCACUGAUACAGGGGCAGGAGAGGAAGCAGAAAUCUUUCAGUGGAGAAAUCCUCUCGGAACCAGAGACAGUCACGUAAAAAGGGCAUGGCUAAGACAGAUUGAGCAGGAAGGGAGAGUGUCCAUCAGAGGGGAGAGUUUGAAGCAACUCAGGUGCUGUGACUGCAUCCUCAGCCAGUGCUCUGCUGACGUCCUCCCGAGGCGUUCUGCCAGAAUCUUCCGCCAGUGCUCUGCCUACCAUCACCUUUACCUGCGCUCCUCCAGCACACACCACCAGUGCUGUGCUGACUAAAGGUGGCAUGAUUAUGCCUUAUGAUACUAAUGCAUAUAAUAAUGCGGUAAUAAUCCAGUUUUUCUACAUAUAUACAAUAUAUUACUAAAAGUAUCUGCUCGCCUGCAUUGCGUUUAUGUUUGUAGAAGCAGUCUGCAUACCUAGGUGCUUGGUUUUAUUCACCUGUGGCCAUUGAAGUGACUGGGACACCUGAGUUUAAUGAUUUGGAUUGGUGAGUGAAAACAUUUGCCAAUAUAAUGUAUGUUCUCCUGCUCCCCUGCUGGUUUUAAUUCCAAUUGCUCUCCAUGGUAUGCACCCCUAUGGAGUGAAUUUUGUGCCAACAGUUUUACACAAAAAAAUAAAAUCCUUAAUUAAUAUUUUAAGAAUCAAAAGGAAAAAUUGUGUUGCAAAUUAAAAAGAGAAAAAUUAUUUAUCCAUAUGUAUAAACAAAUACAUAUUUUUAAAUAUACUUGGUUACUUUAUUAUUCUUUGCAGUUAUUUGAAAUUUAUUAUGGUUUGGAUUAUUAUUAUUUGUUAUUAUUUAUUAUUAUUUUUGUGUUUUUUUGUGAAUUUUCUGUGUUUUUUUUUCUGUUAAAGACUUGAUUCUGGAAUCUCUCGUUUGCUUCUGCUUCAGUUUUUUGCUUCUGAGUUUUGGUACAGAUUUCACGGGUGGGCGGGGCUUAGAAGAAGGCGCUACCCUUGAAUCUGUAUUGGUCCGCUGGUUUUAGACUGACGGGUUCCCUGAACUCUCGUCUGAAACUGACCACGCCCCCAAACACCCCGCCAGUUUCAAGCGUUCUUCCAAACACGGGAGCGAACAGGUUCCAGCGCACAACAGCAGCAGAUACUUUUACAAUUAAAUUUCAUACAAACGUUAUAUUUAAUGUUAGAUUUAUUCUCCAAGCAAGUGUUUCACUCCAUUAAAAAGCUCAUGAUAGCGAGGUGUGCUAAAUAUUCCAGCACAAAGUAGGUAACUAACUAACUCACUAGCUCACUAACUAUUUAACUUACUAGCUCACUGACCAGGUAACUAGGUAACUAACUAGCUCACUGACUAUUUAACUCACUAGCUCACUGACUAUUUAACUUACUAGCUCACUGACCAGGUAACUAACUAGCUCACUAACUAUUUAACUCACUAGCUCACUGACUAUUUAACUUACUAGCUCACUAACUAUUUAACUCACUAGCUCACUGACUAUUUAACUUACUAGCUCACUGACCAGGUAACUAGGUAACUAACUAGCUCACUGACUAGGUAACUCACUAGCUCACUAACUUUUUAACUUACUAGCUCACUGACCAGGUAACUCACUAGCUCACUGACUAUUUAACUAACUAGCUCACUGACCAGGUAACUAACUAGCUCACUGACUAUUUAACUUACUAGCUCACUGACCAGGUAACUAGGUAACUCACUAGCUCACUGACUAUUUAACUUACUAGCUCACUGACCAGGUAACUAGGUAACUAACUAGCUCACUGACUAGGUAACUUACUAGCUCACUGACUAUUUAACUAACUAGCUCACUGACCAGGUAACUAGGUAACUAACUAGCUCACUGACUAGGUAACUUACUAGCUCACUGACUAUUUAACUAACUAGCUCACUGACCAGGUAACUAGGUAACUAACUAGCUCACUGACCAGGUAACUUACUAGCUCACUGACUAUUUAACUAACUAGCUCACUGACUAGGUAACUCACUAGCUCAGGAAAGAGAGUCGACAGUUUAAAAAGGCAUAAAUGUGGUGAUGGAGGGUUACUAAGACUUAUCAUGGAUAUGGGAAUCAGUUAUAGGAUACUUAUAGCAUGUUCCUUUCUCCAAAACAUCGUAACACCCCUUUUUUUUUUUUUUUUUUUUUGCACUUCACCGGUCAGACCUCUGAUUCUUCUCUUCAUUUUAGUUCCUGUACCUUCCUGUAGCAGUUUUCUCCAGUUUACAAGAAUCAUUAAAGGUGUGGGAAACAGUACUCACUGCUCUCUGGCUAUUUAUACUUGUAAUAGUUACAGAGGGAACUGUGUUUCUGUGCAGGUGUGUUCCUUUUCCCAAAACAUUUCUGGUUAUUGAUGGGACCAAAAAAGCUUAAUGUAGAGCAAAAAAAUAAGUUCUAAAACUUUUGACCGGUAGUGUAUUUUGUGUAUUAUUUGUCAUUAAAAUACUUGAGUACUUUUCUUUAAUAUACCAUAUCUUUUUUUUCUAGAACUUAACAGCACUAUACUACUUUUGCACUAUAUAUUUUUUACUCUGUAAACUAUGUAACCUUUGUAACCAGCACUAUAUUACUAUUGCACUUUGGUUUAGUUUUUUUAACUCAGUAAACUUGUAACCUUUGUAACCAGCACUAUAUUACUAUUGCACUUUGUUUUUUCUUUCUUUUUACUCAGUAAACCUUUGUAACCUUGUAUUUGUAACCUUUAUAAACAUGUAACUUUGUAUUAAAACUGUUAUAAAUAAAGCAUGUUGGUAUAA